rnacentral:rRNA from 1 species
UGAGGAAUAUUGGACAAUGGGCGCAAGCCUGAUCCAGCCAUGCCGCGUGCAGGAUGACGGUCCUAUGGAUUGUAAACUGCUUUUGCACAGGAAGAAACAUCCCGACGUGUCGGGACUUGACGGUACUGUGAGAAUAAGGAUCGGCUAACUCCGUGCCAGCAGCCGCGGUAAUACGGAGGAUCCAAGCGUUAUCCGGAAUCAUUGGGUUUAAAGGGUCCGUAGGCGGUUUAGUAAGUCAGUGGUGAAAGCCCAUCGCUCAACGGUGGAACGGCCAUUGAUACUGCUAGACUUGAAUUAUUAGGAAGUAACUAGAAUAUGUAGUGUAGCGGUGAAAUGCUUAGAGAUUACAUGGAAUACCAAUUGCGAAGGCAGGUUACUACUAAUUGAUUGACGCUGAUGGACGAAAGCGUGGGUAGCGAACA